GGAGGGACAAAAGUAUUAGGGCACAUCACUACAUGAUGAUUAACAUGAGGUUUACCGUUAACAUGAUGUCUACCGUUAACAUGAUGUCUACCGUUAACAUGAUGUCUACCAUUAACAGUAGGUCUACCAUUAACAUGAGGUCUACCAUUAACAUGAGGUCUACCAUUAACAGUAGGUCUACCAUUAACAGUAGGUCUACCAUUAACAGUUGGUCUACCAUUAACAGUAGGUCUACCAUUAACAGUUGGUCUACCAUUAACAGUUGGUCUACCAUUAACAGUAGGUCUACCAUUAACAGUAGGUCUACCAUUAACAGUUGGUCUACCAUUAACAGUUGGUCUACCAUUAACAGUAGGUCUACCAUUAACAGUCAGUCUACCAUUAACAGUAGGUCUACCAUUAACAGUAGGUCUACCAUUAACAGUUGGUCUACCAUUAACAGUAGGUCUACCAUUAACAGUAGGUCUACCAUUAA